rnacentral:rRNA from 1 species
AUGCUAGAAGUACCUAAUGGUGAAAAACAUAGCGUUCAGGUUUCUAAGGAACAGAAUGGCCUAGUCCUUCAAUCUGGAUGGGCGGCAUUUGUGAGCACAUAUGAACUCGAACAGGGUGACACCUUAUUGUUUGAAUUCAGUGGAAGCUCCUGCUUUGAAGUUCGAAUAUUCAAUCAAACUGGCUGCGAGAAAGAGUUAUCCUGUGUUGCAAUGAACACUCCUUGUGUCCAUGAAAUGAACAUGUUGCGCGGUAAUGAUACGCAGUCGUCUACAAAAACUGAAAGGUUGGCAACUAUGCUGCAGUGCUACCUCUAG